UACGUAGGGACCAAGCGUUGUCCGGAAUUAUUGGGCGUAAAGAGCUCGUAGGCGGCUGUCCACGUCGGAUGUGAAAGCUCGGGGCUCAACCCUGAGAGGCCAUUCGAUACGGGACGGCUAGAGGUAGGUAGGGGAGAUUGGAAUUCCUGGUGUAGCGGUGAAAUGCGUAGAUAUCGAGAGGAACACCUGCGGCGAAGGCGGGUUGCUGGGCUGAUACUGACGCUGAGGCGCGAAAGCCAGGGGAGCGAACGGG
rnacentral:rRNA from 1 species